CUAGUCAGGAGGGCAGUAGAGCCUUGGUGACUUCUGGUGAAUCUCACUUCUCAUUCUAAAAUAAAGACUCUUUUAGUCAAUACUGAUAACAGGACAGACACCGCAUUGUGUGUAUAUAUAUAUAUGUACAACCCUGAAACUGGCAUUAAAUCUAGAGUUCCUGUGUUCCAGUUACAAAAGCUUGAAGUUGCUGAAAUAAGUUAAGCCCCUUUUUUAGUUUCCCUCCUUUAAACUAAAGGAUUUUUUCUGGUUCUUUAAUAUAGAUCACAGAACCACAUAUUUGAGGGAGACAGAGGAGUGACUGCAUGCCGUGGUGUGCUCACGCUCUCUGCCGUGUUCCUUCCUUCAUACAGACCGAGAACCUGGUCAAAGUGAAUAUCUGCUCCUGUCUGGCUCGUGUAUGUGCUGUUCUUGCACACUGAAAGAAAGGCAUAGGAAAUGCUGAUUCGUGUCAGAUCUCAUGCUGAUACAACACACUAUGGGCCAUGGGCAUGUCCUCAGCAGCUCUGAAGAGCUCCUAGCUCUGUCGCUGAGCAUUUUCAUAGGCUGUGGAAGAGGAGAAAAAUACAUGGGCUAUGCAACAUGGACAGAAGAUCAGUAAAGCAAUUGCCUUAUUUCGGUCUUGGUGAGGAGUGGUAGGCUGCGCAGCCUUCCUGGAGAGAACUACCAGACUCACAGCAUAGAGUAGUAUAGCCUGAUAGAUCCAAGGGCUGCACAGAGCUCUUUAGGGCAAAACCAACAGCUUAAAUUAAAUCUGCUAUUUCAUAAGUAACCUGUGCAGAUUCAAAGCACAAAGCUUUGGUGUUCUGUGAAAAACAUGUUCGUGUAACUAAGGAACUGCCGAACUCCGCAACAGAUUCAGUGUCUGGAUGUU
rnacentral:lncRNA from 1 species